GACGAACGCUGGCGGCGUGCCUAAUACAUGCAAGUGGGACGCAAGGGAACACACUGUGCUUGCACACCGUGUUUUCUUGAGUCGCGAACGGGUGAGUAACGCGUAGGUAACCUGCCUAUUAGCGGGGGAUAACUAUUGGAAACGAUAGCUAAUACCGCAUAAUAUUAAUUAUUGCAUGAUAAUUGAUUGAAAGAUGCAAGCGCAUCACUAGUAGAUGGACCUGCGUUGUAUUAGCUAGUUGGUAAGGUAAGAGCUUACCAGGGCGACGAUACAUAGCCGACCUGAGAGGGUGAUCGGCCACACUGGGACUGAGACACGGCCCAGACUCCUACGGGAGGCAGCAGUAGGGAAUCUUCGGCAAUGGACGAAAGUCUGACCGAGCAACGCCGCGUGAGUGAAGAAGGUUUUCGGAUCGUAAAGCUCUGUUGUAAGUCAAGAACGUGUGUGAGAGUGGAAA
rnacentral:rRNA from 1 species